rnacentral:rRNA from 1 species
AUUGAACGCUGGCGGCAUGCCUUACACAUGCAAGUCGAACGCGAAAGCGGGGCAACCCGCAAGUAGAGUGGCGAACGGGUGAGUAAUACAUCGGAACGUGUCCAGUAGCGGGGGAUAACCUCUCGAAAGAGAGGCUAAUACCGCAUACGACCUACGGGUGAAAGGAGGGGGAUCGCAAGACCUCUCACUAUUGGAGCGGCCGAUGUCGGAUUAGCUAGUUGGACGGGGUAAAGCCCACCAAGGCUACGAUCCGUAGCUGGUCUGAGAGGACGACCAGCCACACUGGAACUGAGACACGGUCCAGACUCCUACGGGAGGCAGCAGUGGGGAAUUCUGGACAAUGGGCGAAAGCCUGAUCCAGCCAUGCCGCGUGAGUGAAGAAGGCC